ACCAACAGGGAUUGCCCUAGUAACGGCGAGUGAAGCGGCAACAGCUCAAAUUUGAAAUCUGGCCCCCAGGCCCGAGUUGUAAUUUGUAGAGGAUGCUUUUGGUGACGCGCUUACCGAGUCCCCUGGAAUGGGGCGCCACAGAGGGUGAGAGCCCCGUAUGGUUUGCCGCCGAGCCUCUGUAAAGCUCCUUCGACGAGUCGAGUAGUUUGGGAAUGCUGCUCUAAAUGGGAGGUAAAUUUCUUCUAAAGCUAAAUACCGGCCAGAGACCGAUAGCGCACAAGUAGAGUGAUCGAAAGAUGAAAAGCACUUUGAAAAGAGGGUUAAAUAGCACGUGAAAUUGUUGAAAGGGAAGCGCUUGUGACCAGACUCGCGCCGGGCGGAUCAUCCAGCGUUCUCGCUGGUGCACUCCGCCCGGCUCGGGCCAGCAUCGGUUUUCGCCGGGGGACAAAAGCCUCGGGAACGUGGCCCCCUUCGGGGGGUGUUAUAGCCCGUGGCAGAAUACCCCGGCGGGGACCGAGGACCGCGCUUCGGCAAGGAUGCUGGCGUAAUGGUCAUCAGCGACCCGUCUUGAAACACGGACCGAGGAGUCAAGCAUUAGUGCGAGUGUUUGGGUGUAAAACCCGCACGCGUAAUGAAAGUGAACGUAGGUGAGAGCUUCGGCGCAUCAUCGACCGAUCCUGAAGUUUACGGAUGGAUUUGAGUAGGAGCAUUAACGCUUGGACCCGAAAGAUGGUGAACUAUACUUGAAUAGGGUGAAGCCAGAGGAAACUCUGGUGGAGGCUCGCAGCGGUUCUGACGUGCAAAUCGAUCGUCAAAUUUGAGUAUAGGGGCGAAAGACUAAUCGAACCAUCUAGUAGCUGGUUACCGCC
rnacentral:rRNA from 1 species